AAUAAACGCUGGCGGCGUGCCUAACACAUGCAAGUCGAGCGAGAAAGCUCCUUCGGGAGUGAGUACAGCGGCGAACGGGUGAGCAACGCGUGGGAAUCUACCCUUCAGUGAAGAAUACCCUCGAGAAAUCGAGGUUAAUACUGCAUACGUCCUGUAAAGGAGAAAGAUGGCCUCUUUGCUGUCGUUGAAGGAUGAGCCUGCGUACUAUUAGCUAGUUGGUAGGGUAACGGCUCACCAAGGCGACGACGGGUAGCCGGCCUGAGAGGGUGACCGGCCACACUGGGACUGAGACACGGCCCAGACUCCUACGGGAGGCAGCAGUGGGGAAUAUCGCACAAUGGGCGCAAGCCUGAUGCAGCAACGCCGCGUGAGGGAUGACGGCCUUCGGGUUGUAAACCUCUUUUAGUAGGGAAGAAGCGAAAGUGACGGUACCUGCAGAAAAAGCACCGGCUAACUACGUGCCAGCCGCCGCAGUAA
rnacentral:rRNA from 1 species